UACCGUCGGAGCCGGGAGCUUUCCGUGGUU
rnacentral:sRNA from 1 species